CCUCGUAGCGUCUGCGAAAGCAGGCGCUGCGGGGACUUCUUUCCGUCUUUAACGAGGGUCUGCUCGUG
rfam:Serratia marcescens subsp. marcescens Db11, complete genome